GGAAAGUCUUUUACCAAGGCUGGAGACUUAAAAAGACACCACACCAUUCACAGUGGAGUUAAAACUUACAGCUGUGACUUGUGUGGAAAGUCUUUUACCCAGGCUCAAACCUUGAAAACACACAAACUCAUCCACAGUGGAGUUAAACCUUAUAGCUGUGACUUGUGUGGAAAGUCUUUUACCCUGGCUGGAGGCCUAAAAAAACACCAACUAAUCCACAGUGGAUUUAAAGCACACAGUUUUGAGUUGUGUGGUAAGGCUUUUGCUCAAAAUGGCGACUUACAGAGGCAUCUAGUUACCCACUCUGGAAUUAAGGCGUACAGCUGCGACUUUUGUGGAAAAAGUUUCAGCGGCAAACAGUACCGAAAUAAUCACCUACGGAUUCACACUGGAAAUGAUGUUUCCUGCUGUGAUCAGUGUGGGAAACUGUUUGCAACCGAUGCACAGUUACGACGACACAUGUUUAGCCACACUGAGGAGAGACCUUAUAAAUGUGACCUGUGUGAGAAGACUUUUAAAGCUCCACAUCAGCUGAAUAAACACCAACAGAUCCACACAAGAAAGUAACUCUACAAGUGCAGUUACUGUGAGAAGUGGAGCGACGCACAUGGAUCCAUUUCUCAACCCUGUCGUCACUGUGGUGGUGGGAAAGAGUUUCUCUGUGAUCUUUGUGGAAAAACUUCCAAUCAUCAACGGGACC